GAAUGGAAUCUCAGGGAAAGACUUUUUUAAUUUUAAAAAUUAAAGUUAUUUUAAUUUGUGAAGAAACAAUUAUAAUAAUUAAGGACAAGAAGACCCUAAGAAUUUUAAAUUUUUUAUAUAAAAAUAUUUUUAUAUAAAAAAUUUGGUUGGGGCAACCAAAAAAUAUUUUUAACUUUUUUUUGAAAAAAUGACCCAUUAUUAAUGAUAAUAUGAUUAAAUACUCUAGGGAUAACAGCGUAAUAAUUUUAGAUAGAACAUAUAGACAAAAUAGUUUGCGACCUCGAUGUUGGAUUAGGAUACUUUUUUAAUGAAGAUGUUAAAAAAAGGAGUUUGUUCAACUUUUAAAUUCCUACUUGAUCUGAG
rnacentral:rRNA from 1 species